rnacentral:rRNA from 1 species
UCGCGGCCUAUCAGCUUGUUGGCGGGGUAAUGGCCCACCAAGGCAGUGACGGGUAGCUGGUCUGAGAGGAUGGCCAGCCACACUGGGACUGAGACACGGCCCAGACUCCUACGGGAGGCAGCAGUGGGGAAUCUUGCACAAUGGGCGGAAGCCUGAUGCAGCGACGCCGCGUGAGGGAUGAAGGCCUUCGGGUUGUAAACCUCUUUCAGCCUUGACGAAGCGCCCUUUUGUGGGUGUGACGGUAGGGGCAGAAGAAGCGCCGGCCAACUACGUGCCAGCAGCCGCGGUAAGACGUAGGGCGCGAGCGUUGUCCGGAUUUAUUGGGCGUAAAGAGCUCGUAGGCGGCUUGUCGCGUCGUCCGUGAAAACCUGUGGCUUAACUACAGGCUUGCGGUCGAUACGGGCAGGCUAGAGUGCGGCAGGGGAGACUGGAAUUCCUGGUGUGGCGGUGAAAUGCGCAGAUAUCAGGAGGAACACCGGUGGCGAAGGCGGGUCUCUGGGCCGCUACUGACGCUGAGGAGCGAAAGCGUGGGGAGCGAACAGGAUUAGAUACCCUGGUAGUCCACGCUGUAAACGUUGGGCGCUAGGUGUGGGGGGCCUCUCCGGUUCUCCGUGCCGUAGCUAACGCAUUAAGCGCCCCGCCUGGGGAGUACGGA